GAUUCUGAGCGCGGGCAACCCUCCCGGCGAGCGCGCGCUGAUUAGCGUGCCCCGGUGUAUCUGCAUCACAGUUCCUAUAGUUCCAUCCGAAUCUGUUUCAAAUACGAGCCGACGUGGCACUAUUAUUACCGACCGACGGACCUGCUGAUCAUCCGUGACGUGGUGUACGCAACUGCACGCAUCGCCAUCCCCGAAACAGGCGGUGGUCCUCCACGGUUCCGUUCGCACGUACGGGCAUGCCGAAACGUAGUAUACGCGAGAUCGCCGCCGUUGCUGUGCCGUGUGACCCCAACGUGUUGUCCCCGUGACGACGGCGGGCGUCACAUGUUCCCCGUUCGCAAUUAGCCUGACACCGAUAAAAUUAAUUAUUGGCCAAUUAUUAGCGUAUC
rnacentral:lncRNA from 1 species